rnacentral:rRNA from 1 species
GACGAACGCUGGCGGCGUGCUUAACACAUGCAAGUCGAACGGAAAGGCCCUGCUUUUGUGGGGUGCUCGAGUGGCGAACGGGUGAGUAACACGUGAGUAACCUGCCCUUGACUUUGGGAUAACUUCAGGUAACUGGGGCUAAUACCGGAUAGGAGCUCCUGCUGCAUGGAGGGGGGUGGAAAGUUUCGGCGGGUGGGGAUGGACUCGCGGCUUAUCAGCUUGUUGGUGGGGUAGUGGCUUACCAAGGCAUUGACGGGUAGCCGGCCUGAGAGGGUGACCGGCCACAUUGGGCCUGAGAUACGGCCCAGACUCCUACGGGAGGCAGCAGUGGGGAAUAUUGCACAAUGGGCGGAAGCCUGAUGCAGCAACGCCGCGUGCGGGAUGACGUCCUUCGGGUUGUAAACCGCUUUCGCCUGUGACGAAGCUUGAGUGACGGUAAUGGGUAAAGAAGCACCGGCUAACUACGUG